GGUGAGUGCAGUUGCUUUGCCUAGGAUGACAGGCGCGAGAAAAGUUGGAACGGUGUAAACUCUUUACAGGCAGCGUCGCUCCUCAAAAACAUAUGCUCUCCAUCGAGCUUCUAGUUUUCGGAGUUGAGACUGGGGAAAGUUGAGAAGGGAGCUGUGUUGGUCGGUUCUUUUUCCGCAAAAGAGGUAUCACUUUUUAAAAGUAUAAUCUCUUCAAACCUUUUUAACUUUUGGAGUUGAGACGGGACAUUCAAGCUGAAAUGGGAAUUAGCAUUCGAUUGGUCCUGAUAUUCAAAGUUUGUUUCGUACGUCCAUUCAAAUCAGUUUCCGGCCCGGUGAGUGGAGUUGCUUUGCCUUGGAUGACAGGCGCGAGAAAAGUUGGAACGGUGUAAACUCUUUACAUGCAGCGUCGCUCCUCAAAAACAUAUGCUAUCCAUCGAGCUUCUAGUUUUCGGAGUUGAGACUGGGGAAAGUUGAGAUGGUAGCUGUGUUGGUCGGU